rnacentral:rRNA from 1 species
CGCCUCCUGCCCAUAUAAAAAUAUAGGAGGUCCCGCCUGCCCUGUGACCAAAAGUUUAACGGCCGCGGUAUUUUAACCGUGCAAAGGUAGCGCAAUCAAUUGUCUUUUAAAUGGAGACCUGUAUGAAUGGCAUAACGAGGGUUUAACUGUCUCUUUUUUCUGGUCAAUGAAACUGAUCUACCCGUGCAGAAGCGGGUAUACCCACACAAGACGAGAAGACCCUAUGGAGCUUUAGACGCCCACCAACCAUGAAGAGCACCCUGCCUAACAGGCCCCCAAACUACAUGGCCCUGGUAUAAACGUCUUCGGUUGGGGCGACCACGGGGGAAAGCAAAGCCCCCGAGAGGAUUGGGGGAAACCCUAAAACCAAGAGCCACAGCUCUAAGUCACAAAAUAUUUGACCGACAAUGAUCCGGCUUUUGCCGAUCAACGGACCAAGUUACCCUAGGGAUAACAGCGCAAUCCCCUCCCAGAGUCCAUAUCGACGAGGGGGUUUACGACCUCGAUGUUGGAUCAGGACAUCCUAAUGGUGCAGCCGCUAUUAAGGGUUCGUUUGUUCAACGAUUAAAGUCCU